GACGAACGCUGGCGGCGUGCCUAAUACAUGCAAGUCGAGCGCCGUAGCAAUACGGAGCGGCAGACGGGAGAGUAACACGUGGGAACGUACCCUUUGGUUCGGAACAACCCAGGGAAACUUGGGCUAAUACCGGAUAAGCCCUCACGGGGAAAGAUUCAUCGCCGAAGGAUCGGCCCGCGUCUGAUUAGCUAGUUGGUGGGGUAAUGGCCCACCAAGGCGACGAUCAGUAGCUGGUCUGAGAGGAUGAUCAGCCGCACUGGGACUGAGACACGGCCCAGACUCCUACGGGAGGCAGCAGUGGGGAAUAUUGGACAAUGGGCGCAAGCCUGAGCCAGCCAUGCCGCGUGGGUGAUGAAGGCCCUAGGGUUGUAAAGCCCUUUCGGCGGGGAAGAUAAUGACGGUACCCGCAGAAGAAGCCCCGGCUAACUUCGUGCCAGCCGCCGCCGUAAUAC
rnacentral:rRNA from 1 species